rnacentral:rRNA from 1 species
UACGGAGGGUGCAAGCGUUAUCCGGAUUCACUGGGUUUAAAGGGAGCGUAGGCGGGCUGUUAAGUCCGUGGUGAAAGCCCUCAGCUCAACUGAGGAACUGCCAUGGAUACUAUCAGUCUUGAAUGUCGUUGAGGUUUGCGGAAUGGGUCAUGUAGCGGUGAAAUGCAUAGAUAUGACCCGGAACACCAAUUGCGAAGGCAGCAGGCUAAACGAAUAUUGACGCUGAGGCUCGAAAGCGUGGGGAUCAAACAGGAUUAGAUACCCUGGUAGUCCACGCCCUAAACGAUGAUUACUCGACAUACGUGAUAUGACAAUGUGUGUCUGAGCGAAAGCAUUAAGUAAUCCACCUGGGAAGUACGACCGCAAGGUUGAA